UUUAAAGAGUGCGUAAUAGCUCACUAGUCGAGUGACACUGCGCCGAAAAUGUACCGGGGCUAAACAUAUUACCGAAGCUGUGGAUUGUCCUUUGGACAAUGGUAGGAGAGCGUUCUAAGGGCGUCGAAGCAUGAUCGCAAGGACAUGUGGAGCGCUUAGAAGUGAGAAUGCCGGUGUGAGUAGCGAAAGACGGGUGAGAAUCCCGUCCACCGAUUGACUAAGGUUUCCAGAGGAAGGCUCGUCCGCUCUGGGUUAGUCGGGUCCUAAGCUGAGGCCGACAGGCGUAGGCGAUGGAUAACAGGUUGAUAUUCCUGUACCACCUAGUAUCGUUUUAAUCGAUGGGGGGACGCAGUAGGAUAGGCGAAGCGUGCUGUUGGAGUGCACGUCCAAGCAGUAAGGCUGAGUGUUAGGCAAAUCCGGCACUCAUAAGGCUGAGCUGUGAUGGGGAGAGGAAAUUGUUUCCUCGAGUCGUUGAUUUCACACUGCCGAGAAAAGCCUCUAGAUAGAUAACAGGUGCCCGUACCGCAAACCGACACAGGUAGUCAAGAUGAGAAUUCUAAGGUGAGCGAGCGAACUCUCGUUAAGGAACUCGGCAAAAUGACCCCGUAACUUCGGGAGAAGGGGUGCUCUUUAGGGUUCACGCCCAGAAGAGCCGCAGUGAAUAGGCCCAAGCGACUGUUUAUCAAAAACACAGGUCUCUGCUAAACCGUAAGGUGAUGUAUAGGGGCUGACGCCUGCCCGGUGCUGGAAGGUUAAGAGGAGUGGUUAGCUUCUGCGAAGCUACGAAUCGAAGCCCCAGUAAACGGCGGCCGUAACUAUAACGGUCCUAAGGUAGCGAAAUUCCUUGUCGGGUAAGUUCCGACCCGCACGAAAGGCGUAACGAUUUGGGCACUGUCUCAACGAGAGACUCGGUGAAAUCAUAGUACCUGUGAAGAUGCAGGUUACCCGCGACAGGACGGAAAGACCCCGUGGAGCUUUACUGUAGCCUGAUAUUGAAAUUCGGCACAGCUUGUACAGGAUAGGUAGGAGCCUUUGAAACGUGAGCGCUAGCUUACGUGGAGGCGUUGGUGGGAUACUACCCUAGCUGUGUUGGCUUUCUAACCCGCACCACUUAUCGUGGUGGGAGACAGUGUCAGGCGGGCAGUUUGACUGGGGCGGUCGCCUCCUAAAAGGUAACGGAGGCGCUCAAAGGUUCCCUCAGAAUGGUUGGAAAUCAUUCAUAGAGUGUAAAGGCAUAAGGGAGCUUGACUGCGAGACCUACAAGUCGAGCAGGGUCGAAAGACGGACUUAGUGAUCCGGUGGUUCCGCAUGGAAGGGCCAUCGCUCAACGGAUAAAAGCUACCCCGGGGAUAACAGGCUUAUCUCCCCCAAGAGUUCACAUCGACGGGGAGGUUUGGCACCUCGAUGUCGGCUCAUCGCAUCCUGGGGCUGUAGUCGGUCCCAAGGGUUGGGCUGUUCGCCCAUUAAAGCGGUACGCGAGCUGGGUUCAGAACGUCGUGAGACAGUUCGGUCCCUAUCCGUCGUGGGCGUAGGAAAUUUGAGAGGAGCUGUCCUUAGUACGAGAGGACCGGGAUGGACAUACCUCUGGUGUACCAGUUGUCGUGCCAACGGCAUAGCUGGGUAGCUAUGUAUGGACGGGAUAAGUGCUGAAAGCAUCUAAGCAUGAAGCCCCCCUCAAGAUGAGAUUUCCCAACUUCGGUUAUAAGAUCCCUCGAAGAUGACGAGGUUAAUAGGUUCGAGGUGGAAGCGUGGUGACACGUGGAGCUGACGAAUACUAAUCGAUCGAAGACUUAAUCAAUUUUUAAA
rnacentral:rRNA from 1 species